GAUGAACGCUAGCGGCAGGCCUAAUACAUGCAAGCCAAGGGCUGUUUGGUGUAGCAUUCCUUCAAAAAACCGGCGGCGGGGGGCUUAACGCGAAUUCAACCACCCCUCUACAGGAGGAUAGCCCCCGGAAACAAGGAUUAUUACUCCAUAAGAUUGCUUAGAGCCAUCUUUAACCAAUUAAAGCCGCAAGGCGUUAUAGGCUGGUCGUGCGUCCGUUUAGCUAGUUGGUGAGGUAACGGCUCACCAAGGCCAUGAUCGGUAGGGGUUCUGAGAGGAAGAUCCCCCACACGGGCACUGAGACACGGGCCCGACUCCUACGGGAGGCAGCAGUAAGGAAUAUUGGACAAUGGGUGAAAGCCUGAUCCAGCCGUGCCGCGUGCAGGAAGAAGGCCCUAUGGGUUGUAAACUGCUUUUGAGAGGGAGAAAUAAGGGCGAUGCGUCGCUCGAUGAUAGUACUUCUCGAAUAAGCAUCGGCUAACUUCGUG
rnacentral:rRNA from 1 species